CCUACGGGAGGCAGCAGUGGGGAAUAUUGCACAAUGGGCGAAAGCCUGAUGCAGCAACGCCGCGUGAGGGAUGACGGCCUUCGGGUUGUAAACCUCUUUCAGUAGGGAAGAAGCGAAAGUGACGGUACCUACAGAAGAAGCACCGGCUAACUACGUGCCAGCAGCCGCGGUAAUACGUAGGGUGCGAGCGUUGUCCGGAAUUAUUGGGCGUAAAGAGCUUGUAGGCGGUUUGUCGCGUCUGCCGUGAAAAUCCGAGGCUCAACCUCGGACUUGCGGUGGGUACGGGCAGACUAGAGUGUGGUAGGGGAGACUGGAAUUCCUGGUGUAGCGGUGAAAUGCGCAGAUAUCAGGAGGAACACCGAUGGCGAAGGCAGGUCUCUGGGCCACUACUGACGCUGAGAAGCGAAAGCGUGGGGAGCGAACAGGAUUAGAUACCCUGGUAGUCCACGCCGUAAACGUUGGGAACUAGGUGUGGGUCUCAUUCCACGAGAUCCGUGCCGCAGCUAACGCAUUAAGUUCCCCGCCUGGGGAGUACGGCCGCAAGGCUAAAACUCAAAUGAAUUGACGG
rnacentral:rRNA from 1 species